rnacentral:rRNA from 1 species
GAGAGUUAAAUAGUACGUGAAAUUGUUGAAAGGGAAACGAUUGAAGUCAGUCAUGCUAGUGAAAAAUCAGUUUGACGGGUUUUGAGUUCUUGAGUAGAGGCAGGGUCAAACCGUUUCUCUUUUGGACUUGGGAUUUGUUAGAUGUACUUUUUCUUUGGCAGGUCAACGUCGGUUUCGGGGGUUGUAAAAUACUUGGGGGAAAGUAGCUCUGCUUCGGGAGAGUGUUAUAGACCCUGAGAGAUGCAGCUUGUGGGAUCGAGGAUUGCAGCAAAUGCCUUUGGCUUGUCGCCUGUUCCUGGGUGUUACCUCUCUUGUGACAACAUUCUUGCCACUGGAGGGUACUAAUGCCUACUGUUUAGUGCGAUCAAAAAUUUUGCUAAGGAUGUUGACGUAAUGGCUUUAAACGA